AUAAUUUCAUUGCAUAUAGGUAUCAAAUCAGUUCUGUACGACUAAUUUCAAGUUAUAACUAGCAAACAACUGGUAGAAAGAGGACCUUGAAUAUGAACAGAAGUUUGAUUCAAGUAUUGUUCAUGUUUAUGUUGUUUCUACAUAUACACCAGAGCGUGGAUGGUAUGUAUAUUAUAUUGAUGCAUUAGGUUACAAGGCUUUGGAAAUGAAAUCUUCAAAUGACACUUAACUUAUAAAUUAUGUCUUACAUAUAAAUGCAAAGGAAUGGAAUUUGUUAAUUUUCCAACGCUCAUGAUCUUGAUCUACCUAUACCGUGUUUUGAAAGACAAAAAAGAGGGGCGAGAGAUACCAAUCGAAUUAAAAACCGAUCUCUCAUCGCUCCUGUUUCUGAUAUGUCGCAUGGGAGAUCUAACGAAACCGGCUUUGAGGUCACAUGUGAGUGAACUAAAAGUUAUGAAUUUAUAAAGAUAUGCAAAUGAGUUGACGACCUAUUAAUAAGCCAAUCAAAAAAGUUUAUGAAUUAUUUUGACUGACGAUUUCGUCGUAAAUAAAAUGAGUUACAUCCCUUUACCUUACGUUAAACUUCCAAGAUCGUGGAAGACUCAAUUUCAUUGGUCGAAAAAGACACACCUACGAGGUCACUCACAUGUGACCUCAAAGCGGGUUUCGUUAGAUCUCCCAUGCGACAUAUCAGAAACAGGAGCGAUGAGAGAUCGGUUUUUAAUUAGAUUGGAGAGAUACCAGAGGGAUAGUCAAAUUCAUAGAUAAAAAAUAAACUGACAAUGACAUGCCAGAGACAAAAAUAGCAAUUAACCAUUAAAUUUUCUUUAUGUGGUCUGAAAACGGAAGCGAUAGCCAAACAUAAGUGUCCUUAAAUUAAAGCCUUAUAUGUGUUGAGGUGGAAAAAAAUAGAACUUUUUUAGUACACAAUCAAAAGGUUAAAACCACUUUAUAUUUAUGUUAGAUAUUUUCUUUUACGUGAUCUCUUGUUUGUUCAUUUGUGAUAAUUUCUAUUUGCUUUUGAUUUGUAGCAGUCGUGUAUAACAUGUUGCAGGUUUUGCCCAUUGAUCAUUCGACAGUCAUUCCUUGAUGUUUGAUAGUUAUAAUAAAAAAAUAAUGAAAAAUAAUGUUCUUAUCAGAACUAGAAAAUUAAUCAUUUGUAAAGAACUCAUUUCAGUAGAUCAAAGUGCAUAAUAAAAGAACAACUUUAAAUUUCAUUUUAAACCACUUCUAAAAGAUUUUCAAAAAGAGUAACAGCAGUAGAUAUGUGUUAUAGCCACAGUUAACAUAAAACAGAUAGAUACGAGUAUAAAUGUAUAAGUCUAUUAACAGGAUUUUUGUUAUAGUAACACUAAUAUUGUAUAGUUGAUAGACAUAAAGAAUGGAGGACAGCUUUUAUAAGAUAUUGAAAGUCAUUUGUUGGUUAAACCUAGCAGAAAUUACAAAAGAAAUCAACAUUUGUGUUGUGAAUGUUUUGUUAAGAGAAAGAUACAGCAGAAUCUAAGACAAUUGGUUUGACUCCGCAAAGCAUUAAUUGAAGUAGUUACAUUUUUUCCACGAUUCAAAAAUCAAAUUAACAUUCAUGUAUGACUUAGUUAAGCCCUUUCAAUUGGUGUUAUUGCAAUGCCAAUGGUUAAGGGUUGGGUAGGUGUCCGCUAAUUAAAUUAACUUUGCCCCAAUUCUGUAUGUGUCUGUUUUAAUUCUGAAGCCUGUAAUUUAGAGAUUGUCGUUUAUUUCUGUAUACCAUAUUUGCUUUUGUUCAUUAUUUUGUACAUAAUUCAGGCCUUUAGUUUUCUCGUUUGUUUUGUUUUUACAUUUGUCAUAUUGGGGGCAUUUUUAUAACUGAAUACGCGGUAUGGGUUUUACUAAUUGAGGAAGGCUGUACUGUUACAUAUAGUGGUUAAUAUCUGUGUCAUUUGGGCUCUUGUAAAGAGUUGUCUCAUUAACAAUCAUACCACAUCUUCUUAUUUCUAUAUGAUAACACCAGAAAAAAAUAUCGGAAAUUUUAUAAGAAAAAAUUACCAUUAGUUCAUGGUUUAAGUAAGUUUGAUCAAGUGUUGACACAUAGAAUGUUAAAGAUCUGCAAUAUUUGCAAUAUAAAAAUUCCUUUCUCAUUCUAAGUCCUUAGUCCUAUUUUUUAUGUUCUGUUCAAUAAAUAGUGUUUUGUUGUCAGUGAUCUUGGGUUAUCUUUUUGUCACAAGUUAUUUGUUUGAAUUCGAUAGAUGAUUUUUUUUUUGUAGGCCGCUGUGUGACGUCGUUCUCUUUUUUUGUUAUGGGAUUUUCAAAAAGUAUGGACGUAAAAAAAUGUGUUUAAAUGCAGCCUUAAAUAAAAGUUGAUAUAUAUAUAUUUUUUUAAUUGACACGGGUAGUAAGAAAAAAAAUGUCGGUUAUACUGUCAACGGAUUAAAAAAUAUUUAUUUCGAUUUUAGUUUCCUAUUAAUUUUUGUUUAAAAUUUUUUUUAAAUAAUAUCUUCUAUUGUAUUUGGAUUUUCAACAUAUAAGCAUCGAUCAUCACUGAGGAGAUAUGUAUUUUGUUGCAUCUAUGCAGUAAUAUUCAGUUAAAGGGCAUACGAUACAGUUUUGAUCCCGUGUUUACAUUUUGAUAAAAAUUUCCAUAAAGACUAUUUUUUACCUGAUUAAAUCAAAUAUGCAAUAAAAAAUAUACCUUCAUGUGCUACUUUUUGAAAUUUUGUAUAUUUGCUCAAAAGUAGGAUUUGUGGCCGUAAUUUUCCCUUCCGAAAGAAAGACAUAACUUUUUUGUUUUAAAAGAUAAACACAAUUUUUGUUUCGUUAAAUAAUUUGUAAUUUCUGUAUUUUAUAAGAAUCCUUAAAAUUUAUACAGUUUUUAAUCAGAAAUAACUCAUAUUUAUCAAAUGUUCAUGAAUGUAGAAAAAAAACAUCAUUUUUUGCUGUAUAUUUAUCAAUUUUAAAAAAAAUGCACUAUUGACGUUACGUGUAUCAUGAAAUUUGAAAUUUGGCACACAUAAAAAUCUUCUCCCGUAAUCAAACCAAAAGGAAUUUUUCAAAAAGAGGGGUCCAUGAACUCGUUUUCAAGUUUAAUAAAUUUGAAUGAUAAAAAUCAGUCGAAAACUGAAUCUUUUCCAGAUAAGUUAUAGUUUGACGUCGCGAAAAUAACAAUUUACGUUAGCAACGUCAUUACCUCCCCUGUAAGUGUAUCGUAUGCCCUUAAUGUAAUUGACUCUAGCUAUAGUUACAAUUAGAAAAGAUGUUUAUGACUGAAAGUAUCAACGAGCCAUUUAUAAAUAAAGCGAUUUUCUUUCGAUAUGAUCUGAUAUUGAUUCAGUCGUAGUGUAUGAAGUCAUUACAUAAUGCAAACUUUGCGUACUUCAGUUAACCUUUGAGAUAUAAAUGAAAUAUUUAGAUUAUGAGUAAAAUCUCUUUUUUUUUAUUGGAAGUAUUACAUAUAUUAUUAUUUAGUAAAUAAACGAUAUGUUAUUUUAAAAUUUGGUGACUAUGUGGAACGCAUCUAUCCCAUCGAGCUAGAGAUAAAGGAUACUUCAGAUAAAUUUACCGGAUUUGUUAUCACAUAAGCAACACGACGGUUGCUGCAUGUAAAGCAGGAUCUGCUUACCCUUCGGAGAAGAGCACCUGAGAUCACCCCUAUUUUUUUGGUGGGGUUCGUGUUGUUCAUUCUUUAGUUUUCUAUGUUGAGUCGUGUGUGCUAUUGUUUGUUUGUCUUUUUCAUUUUUAGCCAUUGCGUUGUCGGUUUGUUUUAGAUUUAUGAGUUUGACUGUCCCUUUGGUGUCUUUCCUCCCUCUUUUAUAACCACUGGGUCGAUGUCUCUGCCUGUGGACAUUUUGUCCCCGAGGACAUCAUCCGCCCAGUAGCAAAACUUAUAUUGCAUGAAUUUACGAAGAUCUAACAGGAAACUGGCUCGGACGUCGCCCAGUAUAAAAAGGUCCGAAACAGACGUCACCAUGGACACGGUGUCGUCUGAUACGGCAGGUGUCCCCUCAUCACCAAACAUGACAAAUAUCACAAACAUGACUCAUUCAGAUCAUCGUCCUAGUGACAACAGCAAUAUUACACAUAUACAGCCAUGUUCAGUUCUCCUUAAAGACAUUUUGGUUUUUGAUGACACAGUACAACACUGUCGCAUUUCGAAAUGUGAGACCAAAGGCUGCAAAACUUGUGCAAUUUUAAUUACAGAUGCUGAAUUCACUAGCAAUUUGACCAAGAAGUCCUAUUCUACCAGAAGUUACGAUGAUCUGAAUUGUAAAUCGAUAAAUGUCGUCUACGGAUUAGAGUGCAAACUUUGCGGAUUGGUAUACGUCGGUGAAACGAAAGGAAGGCUAAACAAACGGAUGUGCGGUCAUAGAUCAGACAUUAACCUCAAUGAUAACGACAUUCUAUGCCAGCAUUUCAAUCAGCCCGAUCAUUCCAUCGUUUCCAUGACAGUUCGCAUUAUCGAAAAGAUAUACCAUAGCUCUAACAAUCCUAAUCUUUCAACAACUCUCCGUAGACAAAAAGAGGACUACUGGAUUAGAAAAUUGGGAACUGCGACAUCUUAUGGUUGCAAUGACAAAAUGGAUGGUAUAGGUAUUCUAUCUAGUCCUUCGUGUAACUCGGUGAAUGUGAUGAAUAUUUUCAACUCGACUCCUCGACGUAGACGCAGUCAUGGUCAUCGUCAUUAUACAUCACCUUCUCUGCAUGAUGUAUCUGUUAAUGACUUGCUGCUAUUUAUACAAAAACCGUUAGGUAUUCAUCACAUUCGCACGAAACUUUAUUCAUUACCCCUUUCAAAACUUUAUUCUCUGUUCAAUUUAUGUUUGGAAUCCACUGUUACAAACCCUCAUUCAAACCAAAACAAAAUUACAGCUAUAACUUCGGAUAUUGCAAGUCACAGACUUUUCAAGUCAGUCCGCAAUGGCAAAGAUGAAAAAGAGAAAAGAUCUUUCCUUACUCUUUCCUUUGCCAACAAAGGUAUCGAUGGCGUCAACUUAGGCAAUAUCCUUCAUCAUAAAUUAGUUCAAUCGAAAAUACCUCUUUAUUUCAAAGACCAGUCUGUACCAAUCAUUUCGUAUACCUAUACCAAACCUAUUGCAACUAAAAUUUUCAAUUACAAACACGUUUUGCAGGAUCUCGAUAUUGACGACUUCAAGUCUAAACCUCCUGAUUGCACUUGUGCUAGUUCCCAAUUCACAUAUAAUCCUGCUGUCCACGUUAUUACCGGUGACCUCAACAUUGUUAAUAACACUUCUCUACGAAAUGUGUUAUCGAAAGGUCCGAGAUAUCGUGAGCCUUAAUCCAUCAAUUGAAUACAACUUUAAAAUUUUGAUGAAUUCAGUUGAGGAUUAUGCCAGGCAAUGGGCUAAGCGCGAGAAGGAAGACGUAGACACUCUUUCCGAAUGGAUUAAGGCAGUGAGGUCUUUGAUACAAAUCAGAAUUAAGAAACUGAAUGGGUCUAUCAAUGUCUAUGCCACGUCAAUCUUUAAAGACCCAAAUGUUGCAAAGCACCUAUCCUACAUCCAUGACAAAUAUGUUGUUGUCCCCGCAGAUCAAGCCCAAACAAUAUCGUUUUUUUUAUGUAAAACUCAUUACAUUAACUGCUUGAUAAACGAAUUAGGUAUUGACAAUUCACUCGGAAACUCAACAUAUACCCUCACGACACUUACCAAAGAGGAAACCCUGGAUAAUCAUAGGUCUGUUCUGUGUUCCUUUGGAAUUUCAACCAAAGAUCAAGAACUGGAUCUGCCAUCACUGUAUUGGGUACCUAAACUACAUAAGUGUCCUUACAAACAACGGUAUAUUGCUGGGUCUUCCAAGUGCUCCACAAAACCUCUUUCUAAAUUAUUAACAUCUAUUUUAUCAGCAAUCAAAGACGGGCUUCAAAGAUAUUGUGAAACUGCCUAAUCUAGAGGGGGCGUGAAUCAGAUGUGGAUACUUAAAAAUUCAAAAGAUCUUUUAGAGUACAUACAAUCUAACUCUCUUUCAUCUUGUAAAAGUAUUAAAACAUUUGACUUUUCUACUCUGUACACUAGUAUUCCACAUUCCAAACUAAAAGCCAUAUUGAAAGAGUUGGUAUUGCUUUUGCUUCGUAAAAAGGAAUAGCCAACGUAGAUACAAGUAUCUUGUCUGAGGGAGGGAUAAAUCCUACUUUGUAAAGGAUCACUCUGAUUCGAACAAAAAAUUCUCUGAAACUGAUAUUAUCAAGAUGUUUGAUUUCUUGAUUGACAACAUAUUUGUUACGUUGGGAAAACGUGUUUUUCAACAGACUGUCGGCAUUCCAAUGGGAACAAACUGUGCUUCUCUACUUGCCGACUUGUUUCUUUAUUAUUACGAGGCUGACUUCAUGCAGGAACUUCUUAGGAAGAAAGAUAAGAAGUUAGCAAUAUCCUAUAACUCUACUUUUCGCUAUAUAGAUGAUGUUCUUUCAUUAAAUAAUUCAAAAUUUGGUGACUAUGUGGAACGCAUCUAUCCAAUCGAGCUAGAGAUAAAGGAUACUACAGAUACAGUUAAGUCAGCCUCAUAUCUUGAUUUACAUCUAGAAAUUGACAAUGAGGGUCGGUUGAAAACAAAACUUUACGACAAAAGAGAUGAUUUCAGCUUUCCAAUUGUGAACUUUCCAUUUCUAAGUAGCAACAUUUCAGCAGCACCUGCAUACGGGGUAUAUAUCUUUCAAUUGAUACGAUAUUCCCGUGCUUGCAUUUCCAAUCAUGAUUUUCUUGAUAGAGGGUUGCUGCUCACAAGGAAGUUAUUAAACCAAGAGUUCCAAAUGGUGAAGUUGAAAUCAUCCCUUCGUAAAUUUUACGGACGCCAUCAUGAGUUGGUUGACCGUUAUGGAAUAACCGUUUCACAAAUGAUAUCGGAUAUGUUCCUUACGUCGUAACUGCAACCCCCUUCCCUUUCAUGAAUGUGACCUACCGAAUUAGACUAUUUACCGGAUUUUUUAUCACAUAAGUAACACGACGGGUGCCACAUGUGGAGCAGGAUCUGCUUACCCUUCCGGAGCACCUGAGAUCACCCCUAGUUUUUUGGUGGGGUUCGUGUUGUUUAUGCUUUUGUUUUCAUGUUGUGUCGUGUGUGCUGUUGUUUGUUUGUCUUUUUUUUUCAUUUUUAGCCAUGGCGUUGUCAGUUUGUUUAAGAUUUAUGUGUUUGACUGUCCAUUUUGUAUCUUUCGUCCCUCUUUUACAUGAAUACAUUUAAAAUAUCGGUGAUCGACUUUACUAUCUUUUUCAGGUUUUGUGAUACCAGUUCAAGAUGGUACCAAUCCAAACACCUGUGUAUGUUCAACGGGAUUAGUUUGUGACGAGGCAACCAACAUGUGCAUUCAAGGCAAGACAAUUUCGUAUAUUAAAUAAUUAAUACAUUUCAUUUCAUUCAGUCUUACCUAAGUGCUGAUUUGUUUAAAUGUAUAACAAAGUUUAAACAGUAGAUAGAGUAUGAUGAGCAAUCAGUUUAAACAUCGGCUUACAGCAUUAACGGUAACAAAUUAUAUUACAACAGAUGUGCACUUCGAAAAGUCAUAUCUUUUCAGUGAUGCUCGAGGUUAACGUGCGAAUCAUUUUGUUGAAUAUGUGACUAAGCAAUUUAAAAUUCUAUAUAUUUCGGUUGUAUUACCAAUGUUAUUUCAACUGAUCGGGCGGAGUUUACGUUUUAAUUUGCAUAAGGACAGUCUAUUUGAAGAUGUGUGUGAUAAGGAAGAUUGCUGUAGUAAUUAUAAAAUGAUUUCUAAUCACCUAUCAGUGUCAUCAGAGGAAUUUAUAAAAGAAUGACUGAACACUUCAUUGAUGAGUGUAUUCUAAAACACCUAUCUGUAGAUGGACUGGUUUUUUGUGAGUGAAUCGUUUAAACUCCGCCCAGUCAGGUGAAAUAAAUCGAGUAAUAACAAAAUCAUAUAAAUUGAGUUUGAAUUUGUCCAUCUAUACAAAGAUAUGAUUUGUAAGUUAAGCUGUACCUCAAACAAGAUAAUUACCUCAUUCUAACGGAGAUGUUGUAACAAAGCCCGGAUUCAGAUACGAUCCGGGUAAACUUAUCAAUCCUUUAAAGUCAUAAGAAACGAGUGACUGGUGAAAAAUAAUAUUCUUCCAAUUCUUGAACCAAUGCAUACAAACAUCAUUAACUUCGUCCUCUGUGCACGAAUUUAUCAUAUUUUUUUUCGUGUAAAUUUCGUUUAAUCGUCAUUUUUUUUUCAAUCGGUCAGUGUUGUUGUAAAAAUAUGGCAGGUAAUUAAAGUUAGUGUUUUGAAACCGAAGUUUACCGAUUGUCACCUGUUUGUCAACAAUCAACAAAAAAUUAACAAAAAAGCAUGGAAAUUGAGCAUGUGUUUAACAUGUAAAUUCAGAUAAUUUUAAGGAUAUCCCUGUGUAUUGUGAUCACCGGAUUUUUACGAGAUGAGUAACACUGAGGUCACUUUGCAUACGGAAAAUAUGUCGGGGGAAUUGCUUCCUGGAAGGAAGCAAUUAAAAUAAAGUAAACUUUUUCUAAAUAUUAAUAAAUCAAUGAAUUUUCUUCAAAAAAAAAUAUAUGUACAUAAGUUUUAUAAUGAAAACUAUCUAUUGAGUUAUGAAAAAACAUAUGCACUAUUUUGUUUUGGAUUUGAGGUUUCUAAUGACUUUAAAUAAACUUAUUCUAAAUAAUUACCAAAUUCAACACUGUAAUUAGAUAUUAAAAUAUUGUUUUUAUUGCUAUAGAUAUUGAUUUUGUAAUUUAUAACCAACAUUGUAUUAUUGUUAUAAACAUACAAAUAUGCACAUUCACGGUUCUACAAUAUGUAGAUUCAUGCUUUUUAACAUCCCAAAUAUCAUCCACCACGCCACAUUCUGUAUGUGCCUCUGUCAAGUCUAUAACUUGUAAACUAUAAUUCAAUGGUUGUCGCGUUUGCUAAAUAUCAUAUUUGUAUUUUUUUCAUUGUUGCUUUUUACAUAGAUUAGGCCGUUAAUUUUCUCGUUUGAAUUAUUUUACAUUUGUCAUUUCGGGGCCUUUUAUAGAUGAAUAUGCGGUAUGGUUUUUGUCCGUUGUUGAAAGUCGUACAGGGAACUAUAGUUGGUUUCUAAUGUCAUUUUGUAAUUAUACCACAUCCUCUGAUUUUUUUUAUUAUCCACUGCGGUAAAUUAGGUAAUGUUUAGACUUAGUUACUUUCAUUUAAAAAUAUGUUUGUAUGUCUUACUGUAAAAAUAUUUUUGUGAAACAUUACAUUGCAAAUCGCUUCAGCUUGCCGGUCUAGCACAAAGACGGGUUCAUGGUCAUAACAAUUUUAUCUCGUAAUGAUAAUUAUACAUGUUAUACGAUAUUGUGUUGUGUUGUUGCUUACGACGAUAUUGAACAUAAUAUAUGUUCUGCUGCAGUAUUUUCAUGGAACAUACUUUUAAUUUUAUUUCUUGAUAAUAAUAUUUACACAAUUGUAGAUGAUGGCAGUACAUAUGGUAAUGCUGGGGUGAACUCAAUAGGGUAAUAUUUGGAUGGACGACAAACUAAAUGCAAAUACAAUGUACAAGCGUUUCUUACAAAAAUAAACAUUUACA
rnacentral:lncRNA from 1 species